GCUGCACGUGCCGUGUAGACCAGGCUGGCCUGGAGUGUACACACAGUCAGCUUGCCAAGAUUACAGGCGUGUACCGCCAUAUCUGGCCAAAAUGUUCAUUUUUAAAACAAUAUUUAGAGCUUUUCCACUGAAAUCUUAGCUGUGUGUCUGUAACAAAUAUUUUUCUUAAGCAUUUGCAUUAAUAAUCUAUCAUGCUAAUUAUCAGUGUUUUCCACUGUCAUCAGGGCUCAUAUACUUAUAGGCGUGUAUGGUAGUGAAAAACUAGGUUUGGAUCCUGUCAAGGUAAUAUGACACAGAGUUCAUCCCACCACGCCUAACUAAGGCUGUGAAUUCAGAUCACCGGUAAGUAAAGGGCAUGUAGCAGAAAGGCCGACGACUAAAGCUUACAGGCCGAAGUCAGGGUUUAGGACUUGACUGAUCUACUCAACCUGAGCAAGUUACUUUAGAUCAGCUCUCUAUUAAAUAAAAUAAAAUAAAAUAAAAAUACCCUUACAUAAUUGAUAGGAUUAAUUGAAAGUCUAUAUAAACUAUAAAGCAUUAUUUAUACUAGUCUUAUAUAAUACUGUGAAUAACAUUUCCUAAGUGUGACAUUAAACAAAUAGUUCAAGAAGGAGUCUCCUGAUUUUGAAUUAUCAGUGAUACAUUGAAUAAAAAGACAAAAGGACACUUUUUUAAAUCUUUAAUCCUUUUUUUUAAACUGCUGAAUUAGAUCAGCCUGUAUAUAUUUUUUUAAGAUUUAUUUAUUUAUUUUAUGUAUAUUAGUACACUGUAGCUGUCUUCAGACAUACCAGAAGAGGGCAUCAGAUCUCAUUACAGAUGGUUGUGAGCCACCAUGUGGUUGCUGGGAAUUGAACUCAGAACCUCUGGAAGAACAGUCAGUGCUCUUAACCUCUGAGCCAUCUCUCCAGCCCCUCUUUAAUCCUUUUUUACAGUCUGGUCAUUAUCCCCUUCCCAGUCCACCCUCCGACAGUUCCUCAUCCCAUUCCUCUGCCUCACCCCCACAACCCCAUAUCCAAGAGGAUGUCUUCCCCCCCCCCCCCCGCCCCCGCCCCAUCCUGCCAGACCUCACCAUUCCAUCAAGUCUCUUGGGCUAGGUGCAUCUUCUCUCACUUAGGCCAGACCAGACAGUCCUCUGUUGUAUAUGUGUCGGGAGCUGUGGACCAACUAGUGUAUGCUGCCUGGUUAGUGGCUCAGUAUCUGAGAGAUCUCGGGGGUCCAAGUUAGUUGAGACUGCUGGUCUUCCUGUGGGGUCACUCUCCUCCACAACUUCUCCCAGCCUUUCCCUAAUUCAACGACAGGGGUCCCUGGCUUUUGUCCAGUGUUUUCGUGUGAGUAUCUGUGUCUGUCUCAGUCAGUUGCUGGUUGGGCCUCUCAGAGCACUGCCAUGCUAGGCUCCUGUCUGUAAGCACACAUAGCAUUAGUAAUAUUGUCAGGCCUUGGAGCCUCCUCUUGAGAUGGAUCCCAAGUUGGGCAGGUCACUGGAUCUCCUUUCCCUCAGUUUCUUCUCCAUUUUUGUCCCUGCAGUUCUUUUAGAUAGGAACAAUUCUCCCAUGGUUGGGAACAAAAGACUCUUUCACACACUUAUGACUGGGUAUAAAAAGUGGUAAUGCAAGCAUUUGGAUAGGAGGUACCCCUCAGCUUAGAUCCCCAAGCAAUGGCACCAUGGUAUUAACUGUUGAAUGCAGGUCCAGGACGAGAGACAGAAUAGAGAGGAUUUAGUGCCCCAGCAGCUUUGCUUACAUACUGUUAAGAUUUGGAUCUGAAGUGUCCCACCAAGGCUUGUGUUUUAAAGCCUUUGACGCCAGCUUGUGGUGCUGUUGGGAGAGUGGCAGAACCUUGUGAGGAAGCACAUUUGAAAGAUGUUAAUGGGACACUUGCUUUUGGCCUGUUAUCACUUUCUGCCUGUAGUAAUGUGAGCAGCAUGCUUCUGUGGUGAUGUUCUGCCAAGCUUGCCACAACCCCAGACACACUGGGCCUAGUGACUGUGGAGUGGAACCUCUAAAACAAAGGGAGCAUUUCCCCCUUUUAAUUUGUUUUUCUCAGACAUUUUUUAACAAUGACUUGAAGCUGACACAUGUGCAAAAUGUUAAAGUACGUAUAUUCCUUGACUCAUUAUUUCAUCUUCAAAGAAUUUACAUUCAAGGCUUGUUUACAUAAAUGCCCCAAAAUGAAUGUUGGACCAUAACUCAGUAAGGAAAGUACUAGCCUAGCAUAGAUUCUCCAGUACCUCAUAAAUACCACAGAGAGUGGGGGGAGGGAUUUAUAUUUUCCAGUAUUGUUAAAUGUUUGCCUGGAUUCUUUCAUUUUCAAAGGCUAGAGCUAGAAAUUCCUUUUCAAAGUC
rnacentral:lncRNA from 1 species